rnacentral:rRNA from 1 species
AUUGAACGCUGGCGGCAGGCCUAACACAUGCAAGUCGAGCGAGAGGCGGACGGGUGAGUAAUGUAUGGGGACUGCCCGAUAGAGGGGGAUAACUACUGGAAACGGUGGCUAAUACCGCAUACUAUCGGAUAACCCAUAUGGGAUUAGCUAGUUGGUGGGGUAAAGGCUCACCUAGGCGACGAUCCCUAGCUGGUCUGAGAGGAUGAUCAGCCACCCUGGGACUGAGACACGGCCCAGACUCCUACGGAGGCAGCAGUGGGGAAUCUUGCACAAUGGGCGCAAGCCUGACGCAGCCAUGCCGCGUGUAUGAAGAAGGCCUUCGGGUUGUAAAGUACUUUCGGCGGAGAAGCGUUAUCCGCAGAAGAAGCACCGGCUAACUCCGUGCCAGCAGCCGCGGUAAUAC